UACAGAGGUCUCAAGCGUUGUUCGGAUUUACUGGGCGUAAAGGGUGCGUAGGCGGUGGCGUAAGUCGAGUGUGAAAUCUUCCGGCUCAACCGGAAAAUUGCACUCGAUACUGUGUCACUCGAGGACUGUAGAGGGGACUGGAAUUCACGGUGUAGCAGUGAAAUGCGUAGAUAUCGUGAGGAAGACCGGUGGCGAAAGCGAGUCCCUGGGCAGUUCCUGACGCUGAGGCACGAAGGCUAGGGGAGCAAACGGG
rnacentral:misc_RNA from 1 species